GUCCUGCCCACUGCCACUUCAAUGUCGCA
rnacentral:sRNA from 1 species